UGGCUCAGAUGGUAAAGCGUCUGCCUGCCAUGCGGAAGAUCUGGGUUCAAUUCCUGG
rnacentral:tRNA from 1 species